AUACGUAGGGUGCAAGCGUUAAUCGGAAUUACUGGGCGUAAAGCGUGCGCAGGCGGUUUUGUAAGACAGUGGUGAAAUCCCCGGGCUCAACCUGGGAACUGCCAUUGUGACUGCAAGGCUGGAGUGCGGCAGAGGGGGAUGGAAUUCCGCGUGUAGCAGUGAAAUGCGUAGAUAUGCGGAGGAACACCGAUGGCGAAGGCAAUCCCCUGGGCCUGCACUGACGCUCAUGCACGAAAGCGUGGGGAGCAAACAGGAUUAGAUCCCCUGGUAGUCCACGCCCUAAACGAUGUCAACUGGUUGUUGGGGAUUUAUUUUCUCAGUAACGAAGCUAACGCGUGAAGUUGACCGCCUGGGGAGUACGGCCGCAAGGUUAAAACUCAAAUGAAUUGACGGGG
rnacentral:rRNA from 1 species